rnacentral:rRNA from 1 species
UACGAAGGGUGCAAGCGUUAAUCGGAAUUACUGGGCGUAAAGCGCGUGUAGGCGGUUUGGUAAGUUGGAUGUGAAAGCUCCCGGCUUAACUGGGAGAGGUCGUUCAAUACUGCCAGACUUGAGGAUGUGAGAGGGAGGUGGAAUUCCGGGUGUAGUGGUGAAAUGCGUAGAUAUCCGGAGGAACACCAGUGGCGAAAGCGGCCUCCUGGCACAUUUCUGACGCUCAGACGCGAAAGCUAGGGUAGCAAACGGGAUUAGAUACCCCUGUAGUCC